rnacentral:rRNA from 1 species
AUUGAACGCUGGCGGCAUGCCUUACACAUGCAAGUCGAACGGUAACGCAGGGCAACCUGGCGACGAGUGGCGAACGGGUGAGUAACGCAUCGGAACGUACCCAGUAGUGGGGGAUAGCCCGGCGAAAGCCGGAUUAAUACCGCAUACGACCUACGGGUGAAAGCGGGGGAUCGCAAGACCUCGCGCUAUUGGAGCGGCCGAUGUCAGAUUAGGUAGUUGGUGGGGUAAAGGCCUACCAAGCCUACGAUCUGUAGCUGGUCUGAGAGGACGACCAGCCACACUGGGACUGAGACACGGCCCAGACUCCUACGGGGGGCGGCAGUGGGGAAUUUUGGACAAUGGGCGCAAGCCUGAUCCAGCCAUGCCGCGUGCGGGAAGAAGGCCUUCGGGUUGUAAACCGCUUUUGUCAGGGAAGAAACGCUCUGGGCUAAUACCCCGGGGUAAUGACGGUACCUGAAGAAUAAGCACCGGCUAACUACGUGCCAGCAGCCGCGGUAAGAC